rnacentral:sRNA from 1 species
AUAGCGCUUUCUCUACAGGGCUCUGUUGCAGGAAGCGAUAAAGAGGCUGCAACUAUGAAGAAGAAAAGACCGGAAUUGAUGAGCAAGACGCAGAUGACACAG